ACAAGAGGUUGGAAACGACCCUCUCCUCUCCUCAGUCAAGCCUCCCAGUGAGAUUGCAGUCUGCCUAACACUGGAUUGCAGCCUCCUGGGGCCCGCUGGGAAGACACCAUUGAGCUACCUGAUCUCAUCAGGACACACAGGAUAUUAGCCGUGAGCCUCCUGGAAGGCAAAUCGAAAAGAGAAAGAUGUUGAAGCACGACAAAACAGAGCCUUUUCUCCAGUGUGCGAGCCCUUCUGUGGCAUCAGUGGCCCAGAGCAGCGUCUUCCACAGAUGUUUCAGCGGUGACACAGACACAUUCUUCCUGUGCCUUGGCUGCCUUUGGGACAAAACGUCAUCAGCAAAAGAAGCAGCAGCCAUGGGUCAUCAGUUAGUGCUCACGAUGAGGACCUCCAGUUUCCCAGCCAGAGGCCCAUAGGCCAGAGACCUCAGCCUCUCCCAUCGUCCCUGGUCCUGUGACCCUCAGACACAACUCCUCCAAAGGCUGCCCCAAGGUGUGACUCCAACUCAUCAUUUCCUUGGUUGGGAGGCUGGUGUUUCUUUGCAAGGGACUACAGAGCCAUAUUAUACUCAACGCUAAAUAAACAAAUGCUUGAGUCUGUG